UACGUAGGGGGCAAGCGUUGUCCGGAUUUACUGGGCGUAAAGAGCGCGUAGGCGGAAGUUUAAGCGGUGCUUGAAAGCCCCCGGCUCAACCGGGGAGAGUGGUGCCGAACUGGACUUCUUGAGGGCGAUAGAGGAGAGUGGAAUUCCGGGUGUAGCGGUGAAAUGCGUAGAUAUUGGGAGGAACACCAGUGGCGAAGGCGGCUCACUGGACCGGUACUGACGCUGAUGCGCGAAAGCGUGGGGAGCAAACGGG
rnacentral:rRNA from 1 species